rnacentral:rRNA from 1 species
AUGCCGUGCUGUCCAAGGAGCAGGAGGACCAGAUCGGGCACGGGUCGCGCGGGGGACGUCACCAUCCUGCCCACGCUCGUCAUCAACGACGUCCAGUACAGAGGGAAGCUGGAGAGGACGGCGGUGCUCAAGGCCAUGUGCGCCGGCUUCAAGGAGGGGACCGAGCCGCAAGUUUGCCUGAGCCAUGACAUGGAGACGAACGAGUGCCUGCAUCAGAACGGCGGGUGCUGGCAGGACGAGGCGACGAACAUGACGGUGUGCAGGGACACGUACCGGGGCAGGGUGUGCGAGUGCCCCAUGGUGAACGGCGUCCGCUACGAUGGUGACGGGUACACCCACUGCAAAGGUCGACUGCACCGCCACACGAAGUUCACAGGCCAUAGCUGCGGACGGACAAAAUUCCAACUGUACUGCAACCCCUCAAGAUCCACAGUGGCCAAAGAUGGCGCUCCACAGUUGUUCGGUGUAAUGCCUAAGGAGCAAACAAUGUCUCUCUCACUUUUGUUUUUCGAAAGACCUACCUAUCACUGCACCUUAGGUCCACCACCUACAGCCGGCGCCGCAGUGCCUCGACCAUUCAACUAUGCCACCUCAGCAGUUCAAUAUAUAUUGGAGAAGAAGAAAAAACAACAGUAG